AAUCAACGCUGGCGGCGUGGAUAAGACAUGCAAGUCGAACGCUUAUUUCCUGGUAGCAAUAUUAGGGAGUAGGAGUGGCGCAAGGGUGCGUAACACGUGGAUCAUCUGCCUGGAAGUCUGGAAUAAUUCCGCGAAAGCGGGACUAAUGCCGGAUGUGGUUGGAAGACUAAAGUUGGGGACCGCAAGGCCUGACGCUUCCAGAUGAGUCCGCGGCCUAUCAGCUAGUUGGCGGGGUAAUGGCCCACCAAGGCUAAGACGGGUAGCUGGUCUGAGAGGACGACCAGCCUCACUGGAACUGAGACACGGUCCAGACACCUACGGGUGGCAGCAGUCGAGAAUUUUUCNCAAUGGGGGAAACCCUGAAGGAGCGACGCCGCGUGGGGGAUGAAGGGCUUCGG
rnacentral:rRNA from 1 species